CCCAAGAUGGCUGCCUUCGAGGAUCGGGUGUCGGAUGAGGAGAAGGUAUGCAUAGCUGCUAAAUUUAUCACUCAUGCACCGCCAGGGGAAUUCAAUGAAGUGUUCAACAAUAUCUGGCUACUACUUAAUAAUGAUAAUCUCCUCAGGGAAGGGGCAGCACAUGCAUUUGCCCAGUAUAACAUGGAUCAGUUCACACCUGUGAAGAUAGAAGGAUAUGAAGAUCAGGUCUUAAUUACAGAACACGGUGACCUGGGUAAUAGCAGAUUUUUAGAUCCAAGAAACAAAAUUUCCUUUAAGUUUGAUCACUUAUGGAAAGAAGCAAGUAACCCCCAGCCAGAAGAAGUAGAUGGAGGUCUGAAGUCUUGGAGAGAAUCCCGUGACAAUGCUUUAAGGGCCUAUGUGAAAGAUCAUUAUUCCAACGGCUUUUGUACUGUUUAUGCUAAAACUAUAGAUGGGCAACAGACCAUUAUUGCAUGUAUUGAAAGCCACCAGUUUCAGCCUAAAAACUUCUGGAAUGGUCACUGGAGAUCAGAAUGGAAGUUCACCAUCACACCAUCUACAGCCCAGGUGGUUGGAGUACUUAAGAUUCAGGUUCACUAUUAUGAAGAUGGCAAUGUUCAGUUGGUUAGUCAUAAAGAUGUACAGGAUUCAGUAACUGUUUUGAAUGAAGCCCAGACUGCCAAGGAGUUUAUUAAAAUCAUAGAGCAUGCAGAAAAUGAGUGUCAGACAGCAAUUAGUGAAAACUAUCAAACGAUGUCAGACCACAUUCAAAGCCUUGCGCCAGCAACUUCCUGUUCCCCACACCAAAGUCGACUGGAACAAGAUACUCAGCUACAAGAUUGGCAAAGAAAUGCAGAAUACUUAAAGGCUGAA